CAGUACCUAAUAAUCGUAGCAGUACUAGUAAUAGUGAUGCACAUGCCUUAGCCCACACCAUCUAAGUCAUCUCUUGGUGAACUCUAGACUCCUGUGGGAGUAAAGCCUCCCAGCAGUCACAUGACCAGUCAGGCAAACAAAAUGACUCUUUAUUUCAUGAAUCAAAUCAUGCAUUUAAGUUGGUCAACAAUACAAAAGCACAGCAGGCUCUUUGAAGUCACAGGAUUCCUAAGUGACUUUGCUGUUGACGGAGACAUUUGCAGGUUUCAAUCCACGGUCAGUUGGCUCCGUUACUCUGGGCCUGAGGUGCGGCGGAACAUCGUGGCAGAAGGACACGCAGAGGAGAGCUAUUGGCUCAUGGCAGCCGGGAAGCAGAGAAGAGCCUGACACAAUCAACCUUUAAGAAGAUCAAGUCCAUUUGUCCUAGGGUUUUAGGCCAUGAUCACUUGGCCCUGCUGCUCUGGCCUUGUCAUGGCACUGUAUGUUGAGCAGGACACAAACAUGAAGCAGGAGGCCUAUUCACCCCACAGCAGCCGGGAAGCAAAGAGAUGAGAGGCAGCCAGGGAACCUCCAAUGACCUCACCUCCUCCCAUGAGGACCCACCUUCUAAAGGUUCUACCACCUCCCAGUGUCACAGCCUGGUGAUGAAUCCUUCACCACACGGACCCCUGUGGGACACUUCUAAACCACAGUAAUACGAACAACACGAUCCCAUUUGGAGGGAAGUACGGUAUAGUGCAGCGGUUCUCAACCUUCCUGGCCUCAGGAGCUCUUUACAUUCAGACAUUACUAAGACCCCCAAAGAACCUUUGUGUCACACACGCGCGCACACACACACACACACACACAUGUUCUGUAUAUUGAUCGAUACAUAGAUGUUUACUGUACUUGAAAAUAAAAUUUUUUAUGAACUUAUUUAAAAAACAACAUCCAUUUUACAUUUUUAAAAAUGUAUUUUAUGAGAACAAACUAUAUUUCCAUUGUCCCCACCAAAUUAGAGAGUGGUAUUGUUUUAC
rnacentral:lncRNA from 1 species